GAUGAACGCUGGCGGCGUGCCUAAUACAUGCAAGUCGAGCGAACAGACGAGGAGCUUGCUCCUCUAACGUUAGCGGCGGACGGGUGAGUAACACGUGGAUAACCUACCUAUAAGACGGGGAUAACUUCGGGAAACCGGAGCUAAUACCGGAUAAUAUAUUGAACCGCAUGGUUCAAUAGUGAAAGACGGUUUUGCUGUCUCUUAUAGAUGGAUCCGCGCUGCAUUAGCUAGUUGGUAAGGUACCGGCUUACCAAGGCAACGAUGCUUAGCCGACAUGAGAGGGUGAUCGGCCACACUGGAACUGAGACACGGUCCAGACUCCUACGGGAGGCAGCAGUAGGGAAUCUUCCGCAAUGGGCGAAAGCCUGACGGAGCAACGCCGCGUGAGUGAUGAAGGUCUUCGGAUCGUAAAACUCUGUUAGUAGGGAAGAACAAAUGUGUAAGUAACUAUGCACGUCUUGACGGUACCUAAUCAGAAAGCCACGGCUAACUACGUG
rnacentral:rRNA from 1 species